rfam:Magnaporthe oryzae 70-15 chromosome 2, whole genome shotgun sequence.
GGUCCCAUAGCUCAGUUGGUUAGAGCGUCGUACUAAUAUAUUGUCUCCGCGAUGGUAUAUCAAGUAAUUGAAUAUAUGCGAAGGCCGAGAGUUCGACCCUCUCUGGGACCA